AUGAACGCUGGCGGCGUGCUUAAUACAUGCAAGUCGAACGAAGACAGUAGCAAUAUUGUCUGAGUGGCGAACGGGUGAGUAACGCGUUGGUGACCUGCCCCGAAGAGAGGGAUAACAGUCCGAAAGGAUUGCUAAUACCCCAUGUGGUCAUUUGGAUUAGAUGCCUUAUGACUAAACGGAUUUAUUCGCUUCGGGAGGGGCCUGCGUCCCAUCAGCUAGUUGGUAAGGUAAUGGCUUACCAAGGCGAUGACGGGUAGGGGACCUGAGAGGGUGGCCCCCCACAAUGGAACUGAAACACGGUCCAUACACCUACGGGUGGCAGCAGUAGGGAAUAUUGGUUAAUCUGGGAAACCGGGAACCAGCAACGCCGCGUGCACGAUGAAGGCCUUCGGGUUGUAAAGUGCUUUUUGAAAGGAUGAGGAAGGACAGUACCUUCAGAAUAAGCUUCGGCUAACUACGU
rnacentral:rRNA from 1 species